CCGCGAAACUGCGAAUGGCUCAUUAAAUCAGUUAUCGUCUAUUUGAUAGUACCUUACUACUUGGAUAACCGUGGUAAUUCUAGAGCUAAUACAUGCUGAAAACCCCGACUUCGGAAGGGAUGUAUUUAUUAGAUUAAAAGCCAACGCCCUUCGGGGCUCCCUGGUGAUUCAUGAUAACUGCUCGAAUCGCACGGCCUUGCGCCGGCGAUGGUUCAUUCAAAUUUCUGCCCUAUCAACUUUCGACGGCUGGGUCUUGGCCAGCCGUGGUGACAACGGGUAACGGAGGGUUAGGGCUCGACCCCGGAGAAGGAGCCUGAGAAACGGCUACUACAUCCAAGGAAGGCAGCAGGCGCGCAAAUUACCCAAUCCCGACGCGGGGAGGUAGUGACAAUAAAUACUGAUACAGGGCUCUUUUGGGUCUUGUAAUUGGAAUGAGUACAAUUUAAUUCCCUUAACGAGGAACAAUUGGAGGGCAAGUCUGGUGCCAGCAGCCGCGGUAAUUCCAGCUCCAAUAGCGUAUAUUAAAGUUGUUGCAGUUAAAAAGCUCGUAGUUGAACCUUGGGCCUGGCUGGCCGGUCCGCCUCACCGCGUGCACUGGUCCGGCCGGGCCUUUCCCUCUGGGGAGCCGCAUGCCCUUCACUGGGCGUGCCGGGGAACCAGGACUUUUACUUUGAAAAAAUUAGAGUGUUCAAAGCAGGCUUAUGCUCGGAUACAUUAGCAUGGAAUAAUAGAAUAGGACGCGUGGUUCUAUUUUGUUGGUUUCUAGGACCGCCGUAAUGAUUAAUAGGGACAGUCGGGGGCAUCAGUAUUCAGUUGCGAGAGGUGAAAUUCUUGGACCAACUGAAGACUAACUACUGCGAAAGCAUUUGCCAAGGAUGUUUUCAUUAAUCAGGAACGAAAGUUAGGGGAUCGAAGACGAUCAGAUACCGUCGUAGUCUUAACCAUAAACUAUGCCGACUAGGGAUCGGGCGGUGUUAUCUUUUGACCCGCUCGGCACCUUGCACGAAAGUACAAGUUUC
rnacentral:rRNA from 2 species